rnacentral:rRNA from 1 species
CCUACGGGGUGCAGCAGUGGGGAAUAUUGGACAAUGGGCGAAAGCCUGAUCCAGCCAUGCCGCGUGUGUGAAGAAGGCCUUCGGGUUGUAAAGCACUUUCAGUGGGGAAGAAAGCCUUGGGGCUAAUACCCUCGAGGAAGGACAUCACCCACAGAAGAAGCACCGGCUAACUCCGUGCCAGCAGCCGCGGUAAUACGGAGGGUGCGAGCGUUAAUCGGAAUUACUGGGCGGAAAGCGCGCGUAGGCGGUCUGAUAAGCCGGUUGUGAAAGCCCCGGGCUCAACCUGGGAACGGCAUCCGGAACUGUCAGGCUAGAGUGCAGGAGAGGAAGGUAGAAUUCCCGGUGUAGCGGUGAAAUGCGUAGAGAUCGGGAGGAAUACCAGUGGCGAAGGCGGCCUUCUGGACUGACACUGACGCUGAGGUGCGAAAGCGUGGGUAGCAAACAGGAUUAGAUACCCGAGUAGUC